AGAGUUUGAUCCUGGCUCAGAACGAACGCUGGCGGCGUGGAUAAGACAUGCAAGUCGAGCGGGAUUUUUUCCUGUAGCAAUACAGGGAAAAGUCUAGCGGCGAACGGGUGCUUAACACGUGGGCAACCUGCCAAGAAGUGGGGGAUAGCUCGCCGAAAGGCGAAUUAAUACCGCAUGUGAUCAGAGUGGACAUCCAUUCAAAAUCAAAGUCGGGGCAACCUGACGCUUCUUGAGGGGCCCGCGGCCUAUCAGCUAGUUGGUGGGGUAACGGCCCACCAAGGCUUAGACGGGUAGCUGGUCUGAGAGGACGACCAGCCACACUGGGACUGAGACACGGCCCAGACACCUACGGGUGGCAGCAGUCGAGAAUUUUUCUCAAUGGGGGAAACCCUGAAGGAGCGACGCCGCGUGGAGGAUGAAGGUCUUCGGAUUGUAAACUCCUGUCAUUAGGGAACAAAUCUUCCAAGUAACUACUGGAAGGCUGAUAGUACCUGAAGAGGAAGGGACGGCUAACUCUGUGCCAGCAGCCGCGGUAAUACAGAGGUCCCAACCGUUGUUCGGAUUCAUUGGGCGUAAAGGGUGCGUAGGCGGCGGGGCAAGUCAGGUGUGAAAUCUCGGGGCUCAACCCCGAAACUGCACUUGAUACUGCCUUGCUCGAGUACUGGAGAGGAGACUGGAAUUUACGGUGUAGCAGUGAAAUGCGUAGAUAUCGUAAGGAAGACCAGUGGCGAAGGCGAGUCUCUGGACAGUUACUGACGCUGAGGCACGAAGGCCAGGGGAGCAAACGGGAUUAGAUACCCCAGUAGUCC
rnacentral:rRNA from 1 species